rnacentral:rRNA from 1 species
UUGGAGGGCAAGUCUGGUGCCAGCAGCCGCGGUAAUUCCAGCUCCAAUAGCGUAUAUUAAAGUUGUUGCAGUUAAAAAGCUCGUAGUUGAAUUUCGGGGUCAGCAAGUUGGUCGUGCCUCUGGUAUGCACUGGCUUUGCUGAUUCCUCCUUCUUGAAGAACUGUGAUGCUAUUAAUUUGGUGUUGCAGGGAAACAGGACUGUUACUUUGAAAAAAUUAGAGUGUUUAAAGCAGGCUAACGCUUGAAUACAUUAGCAUGAAAUAAUGAAAUAGGACGUUUGAUCCUAUUUUGUUGGUUUCUAGGAUUGACGUAAUGAUUAAUAGGGAUAGUUGGGGGCAUUAGUAUUCAAUUGUCAGAGGUGAAAUUCUUGGAUUUAUUGAAGACUGACUACUGCGAAAGCAUUUGCCAAGGAUGUUUUCAUUAAUCAAGAACGAAAGUUAGGGGAUCGAAGACGAUCAGAUACCGUCGUAGUCUUAACCAUAAACUAUGCCGACUAGGGAUCGGAUGAUGUUAAUUUUUUAAUGACUCAUUCGGCGCCUUACGGGAAAC